GUGGGGAAUCUUGCGCAAUGGGCGAAAGCCUGACGCAGCCAUGCCGCGUGAAUGAUGAAGGUCUUAGGAUUGUAAAAUUCUUUCACCGGGGACGAUAAUGACGGUACCCGGAGAAGAAGCUCCGGCUAACUUCGUGCCAGCAGCCGCGGUAAUACGAAGGGGGCUAGCGUUGCUCGGAAUUACUGGGCGUAAAGGGCGCGUAGGCGGACAGCUUAGUCAGAGGUGAAAGCCCAGGGCUCAACCUUGGAAUUGCCUUUGAUACUGUCUGUCUUGAGUUUGGGAGAGGUGAGUGGAACUCCGAGUGUAGAGGUGAAAUUCGUAGAUAUUCGGAAGAACACCAGUGGCGAAGGCGACUCACUGGCCCAAUACUGACGCUGAGGCGCGAAAGCGUGGGGAGCAAACAGGAUUAGAAACCCCAGUAGUCC
rnacentral:rRNA from 1 species